AUUGAACGCUGGCGGCAGGCCUAACACAUGCAAGUCGAGCGGUAGAGAGAAGCUUGCUUCUCUUGAGAGCGGCGGACGGGUGAGUAAUGCCUAGAAAUCUGCCUGGUAGUGGGGGAUAACGUUCGGAAACGGACGCUAAUACCGCAUACGUCCUACGGGAGAAAGCAGGGGACCUUCGGGCCUUGCGCUAUCAGAUGAGCCUAGGUCGGAUUAGCUCGUUGGUGGGGUAAUGGCUCACCAAGGCGACGAUCCGUAACUGGUCUGAGAGGAUGAUCAGUCACACUGGAACUGAGACACGGUCCAGACUCCUACGGGAGGCAGCAGUGGGGAAUAUUGGACAAUGGGCGAAAGCCUGAUCCAGCCAUGCCGCGUGUGUGAAGAAGGUCUUCGGAUUGUAAAGCACUUUAAGUUGGGAGGAAGGGCAGUAAAUUAAUACUUUGCUGUUUUGACGUUACCGACAGAAUAAGCACCGGCUAACUCUGUGCCAGCAGCCGCAGUAA
rnacentral:rRNA from 1 species